rnacentral:rRNA from 1 species
UGGGGAAUAUUGGACAAUGGGCGCAAGCCUGAUCCAGCCAUGCCGCGUGAGUGAUGAAUGCCCUAGGGUUGUAAAGCUCUUUCACCGGUGAAGAUAAUGACGGUAACCGGAGAGGAAGCCCCGGCUAACUUCGUGCCAGCAGCCGCGGUAAUACGAAGGGGGCUAGCGUUGUUCGGAUUUACUGGGCGUAAAGCGCACGUAGGCGGACUUUUAAGUCAGGGGUGAAAUCCCGGGGCUCAACCCCGGAACUGCCUUUGAUACUGGAAGUCUUGAGUAUGGUAGAGGUGAGUGGAAUUCCGGGUGUAGAGGUGAAAUUCGUAGAUAUUCGGAGGAACACCAGUGGCGAAGGCGGCUCACUGGACCAUUACUGACGCUGAGGUGCGAAAGCGUGGGGAGCAAACAGG